UGGGGAAUAUUGGACAAUGGGGGGAACCCUGAUCCAGCCAUGCCGCGUGUGUGAAGAAGGUCUUCGGAUUGUAAAGCACUUUAAGUUGGGAGGAAGGGCAGUAAGCGAAUACCUUGCUGUUUUGACGUUACCGACAGAAUAAGCACCGGCUAACUCUGUGCCAGCAGCCGCGGUAAUACAGAGGGUGCGAGCGUUAAUCGGAUUUACUGGGCGUAAAGCGUGCGUAGGCGGCUAAUUGAGUCGGAUGUGAAAUCCCCGAGCUUAACUUGGGAAUUGCAUUCGAUACUGGUUAGCUAGAGUGUGGGAGAGGAUGGUAGAAUUCCAGGUGUGGCGGUGAAAUGCGUAGGGAUCUGGAGGAAUACCGAUGGCGAAGGCAGCCAUCUGGCCUAACACUGACGCUGAGGUACGAAAGCAUGGGGAGCAAACAGG
rnacentral:rRNA from 1 species